GAUGAACGCUGGCGGCGUGCCUAAUACAUGCAAGUCGAGCGAACGGACCAGAAGUUUUCUUCUCUGAUGUUAGCGGCGGACGGGUGAGUAACACGUGUAUAACCUACCUAUCCGACUGGGAUAACUUCGGGAAACCGGAGCUAAUACCGGAUGAUAUUUUGAACCUCAUGGUUCAAAAGUGAAAGACGGUCUUUCUGUCACUUAUAGCUUGAUCCGCGCUGCAUUAGCUAGUUGGUAAGGUAACGGCUUACCAAGGCAACGAUGCAUAGCCGACCUGAGCGGGUGAUCGGCCACACGGGAAGUGAGACACGGUCCAGACUCCGACGGGAGGCAGCAGUAGGGAAUCUUCCGCAAUGGGCGAAAGCCUGACGGAGCAACGCCGCGGGAGUGAUGAAGGUCUUCGGAUCGUAAAACUCUGUUAUUAGGGAAGAACAUAUGUGUAAGUAACUGUGCACAUCUUGACGGUACCGAAUCAGAAAGCCACGGCUAACUACGUG
rnacentral:rRNA from 1 species